GCCUGGCGAGGUGGCGCACACCUGUGACCCCAGCAGCUUGGGAGGCUGAGGCAGGAGGAUCGCAGGUUGGAGGCCAGCCUCAAAAUUUACUAAGGCUCUAAGCAAUACAGUGAGACCCUGUCUCUG
rnacentral:sRNA from 1 species